UACGGGGGGGUAAGCGUUGUUCGGAAUUACUGGCGUAAAGGGCUCGUAGGCGGCCAACUAAGUCAGACGUGAAAUCCCUCAGCUUAACUGGGGAACUGCGUCUGAUACUGGAUGGCUUGGAUUCGGGAGAGGAAUGCGGAAUUCCAGGUGUAGCGGUGAAAUGCGUAGAUAUCUGGAGGAACACCGGUGGCGAAGGCGGCAUUCUGGACCGAUAUUGACGCUGAGGAGCGAAAGCCAGGGGGAGCAAAGCGGGG
rnacentral:rRNA from 1 species